AACGAACGCUGGCGGCAUGCCUAACACAUGCAAGUCGAACGAACCCUUCGGGGUUAGUGGCGCACGGGUGCGUAACGCGUGGGAAUCUGCCCUUUGCUUCGGAAUAACAGUUAGAAAUGACUGCUAAUACCGGAUGAUGUCUUCGGACCAAAGAUUUAUCGGCAAGGGAUGAGCCCGCGUAGGAUUAGGUAGUUGGUGGGGUAAAGGCCUACCAAGCCGACGAUCCUUAGCUGGGCUGAGAGGAUGAUCAGCCACACUGGGACUGAGACACGGCCCAGACUCCUGCGGGAGGCAGCAGUGGGGAAUAUUGGACAAUGGGCGGAAGCCUGAUCCAGCAAUGCCGCGUGAGUGAUGAAGGCCUUCGGGUCGUAAAGCUCUUUUACCAGGGAUGAUAGUGACAGUACCUGGAGAAUAAGCUCCGGCUAACUCCGUGCCAGCCGCCGCGGUAACAC
rnacentral:rRNA from 1 species